AGGACGAACGCUGGCGGCGUGCUUAACACAUGCAAGUCGAGCGGUGAUCCUCCUUCGGGAGGUGAUCAGCGGCGAACGGGUGAGUAACACGUGGGCAACCUGCCCCUCACACUGGGAUAAACCUCGGGAAACCGGGGCUAAUACCGGAUACGACCUCGAGCGGCAUCUCUUGAGGUGGAAAGCUCCGAGGUGAGGGAUGGGCCCGCGGCCUAUCAGCUUGUUGGUGGGUAAUGGCCUACCAAGGCGACGACGGGUA
rnacentral:rRNA from 1 species